ACCACUUUGAGAAUGGAGAUUACAAUGUGUUUUCCACUGUUGCUGCUGAUCUGCUCUUUCUGCACCGCUCAGCUUCAAACAGAGUCUGACAAUGAAAUUAUUCCACUGGAAAAGCAAACUGAACCCCAGAGAAGAGAACCAACAAAUGCCUCUAACCACCAACAGACCUGUCCACAAGACUUCCAUGCUCUGCUGAGAGAGAUGAGUGCUUCGCUGGCUGAACAGAGGGUGGAGAUGAGGCACUUACAGAGAGAGAAUGAAGCACAAGCAGCGAAACUGAAAGAACUGGAGUUACAGAAAGCUGAGAUGGAGAGACAGAAGACUGAGGUGGACAAGCUAAAGCAACAACUUCAAGCACAAACAGCAGAGCUGAUCACCAUUACUAAAGAGAGAUAGAGAAGUCAAUCAGGUGGCUUUCUCAGCCUCUCUGUUGGCUUCAGGCUCAGGAACUAUCGUACCAUUUAACACACACACUCCUCUGGUCUUCAGACAUGUCAUCUCAAACAUUGGAAAUGCCUACAAUCCAAACACAGGUUUUUUCAUUGCACCAGUGAGAGGAGCCUACCACUUUGAGUUCUACUUUGGUGCACAUGGACAUGCUUCAUACCCUUCAUGUGCUGUGUUGGUCAAAAAUUGAGAGCAUGUUUUCAUUGCAUAUCAGCAUCAGCCAUCCUAUUUUGGAAGUUCUUCUAAUGGCAUCACACUGCUACUAGAGGUCGGAGAUGUUGUGUUUAUGCGUCUGUGGGUUAAGUCUAGGAUCUAUGAUGAUGAAUCUAAAAUUAGCACCUUCAGCGGUCAUCUGCUUUUCACUAUGUGAGUAGUAAGUUAGCUAUAUGAUAGCCAGUUUCCUUUGUAUAGCGCCAAAUCAUAACAGAAGUUAUCUAAGGACACUUGUAAGGAAGCUGGAAGCUUUCAGAGCUGGCAGUAUGGGACCUAAAGCACACUCCAAAGCACAAAAGAUGGAUGUUGCUGGUGACAGCCCAAAGAAGGGUCCUGCAGGAGGGGUGCCCAUGAUCAUAUAUUGUAGGGAGAAGCACCAGCAGCCUGCAGACAUGGACUAUUACUCCAUUAUUACUAUUACUGGUAUGUUGCAGCAAUGUAUUCACUUCCAAAAUGACCUAUGUGUGUGGGACAAAGAAACAAUGACACAGGACAAAAGGUAGCGCCAAAUGCAGGUUUAAAUGAAUAACAAGAGUAAGUGUUAAGUGUUCAUGUAAAUAUAGCUAAUUUUAAAUUGUAAAUAUGUGUUUUAAAGUUAUUGUGGGAGUGUUCAGUUGCCUUCACUGUUGAAUGGGGUUGGUAGAGAUUGCAGGUAUAGAUAUCAGGUGGGUAAAGUGUGUUACUGUGUUAGAAAAAGGGGGGAGGGUUAGGUGUCUCCCCAGUGGCUAGAAUGUGCUGUACCUGUUGUUGUCAGUCAGCCUGCUACCUCUGUGAUGAGAACUGUAAAUGUUUUGUAACCUGUUUAUGGACACUA